rnacentral:rRNA from 1 species
UAGGGAAUCUUCCACAAUGGACGCAAGUCUGAUGGAGCAACGCCGCGUGAGUGAAGAAGGUCUUCGGAUCGUAAAGCUCUGUUGUUGGUGAAGAAGGAUAGAGGCAGUAACUGGUCUUUAUUUGACGGUAAUCAACCAGAAAGUCACGGCUAACUACGUGCCAGCAGCCGCGGUAAUACGUAGGUGGCAAGCGUUGUCCGGAUUUAUUGGGCGUAAAGCGAGCGCAGGCGGAAUGAUAAGUCUGAUGUGAAAGCCCACGGCUCAACCGUGGAACUGCAUCGGAAACU